rnacentral:lncRNA from 1 species
CAUUGUGAGUUUUGAAAUAUUAGAAAAGAAACUUUGAAGACAUGAAAACAACAGUGUUGUGCCAGGGUCCAUUAGCAGAUGCUUUCAAAGAAAAAAAAUGAAUACUCCAAAUAUAUGUUCCACUGCCCCUUUUCAUCAAUUAUAUAUGGAACAAAAAGACUGCUCUUGUGCCAGAGAGCUUAUGCAGUUUAAAGCUAUGUCUCCACCAAUCUACCUCUGCCGCCAGAACUGUGUAGCCACUACCAUCAAGACGAAAGGAUACGUGCACAUCUUCACUCUUCUGGCUGCACUCAGCAGCUGUGCCCCCAAAGCAUGAAAUACAUGCUGAGAGGGUACCAGCUGCUGCAUGGAUGCCUGAAUAUCUACACACUCCUUCUGCUGCGUGGGGGCACAAGCCUUACUUCUCUCAGCGCAGUGAAGUAACUCUGCAGGCAGAGUGGAAGGUUCUGCUACCACGACUGUAGUUAGACUUGUCUCUUGUAUCAAACAAGAUAACAGAUGGGUAAGGAGACAGGACAUCAUGAGAAGAGGUAAGAGACAGUCAGCAUGAGAAGUAAUAGUUUCAGUACACUAGCAGCUGAACCACUGCCAAAGUUUAAGGAGAAGAAUCAGGUGUUUCUGCAAAUGAUUAUGACCUUCUCAAGCAUGAGUGGCAAGAUGAGAAAAGGGAUAAAGAUGCUUGUUUGAAAGUCUACGGCAAAACUGCCUGUUCGCUCUGACCUGAAACAAGGACUUCUUCCAACAAGUCAAUCAAUGGCAAAAGGCAUAGCCGACAUACUUAAAUGCACAAGAGCUCUGGGAAAGACUCCAUGGACAAAUUUGUGUUUUAGCAUCAGAGUACAUGUACACUCAUUACAUGGACACACGGCAUAAAUGAGUGAUCACUGGGCCUGACUACAGGCCCUUCCUCUGUGUGGAUUCAAUAUUUAUAUCUCAGUCCAUGGUAGACAUAGGGAUCUCUGUCUUUUAUUUCUUCCAUGCAGAGACACAUCAUGGAUGCCACUUCUACACAACACAGGACACUUUGUUAUUCCCCUACAAAGUAACCAACCCUUCCAAAUGAGCAAAUUCAAAUGGAUGAACACAGAUCAUACUCAGUGCAGCAGAUCACAACACCUACAGGUAGGCAACCAUGAGGCUUCUUGAGUCAUACGAACUCUUAUCUCCCCUCCAAAAUAGUAUUUAAGAGUUGACUUACUUUCCCAUGGCAGCACAUUCACUGCAAUACGAUGCAUUUUCAUUCCUUUGAGUUAGAUUACAUAGAGGUAUACUAAACUGUAAUAAUUCAUUCCAGAGCCUGAGAGACAUCCCCACGCACCCCACCGCCCACUCCCACCAGAGGGAGAACAGACAGUUCACAGUAACAUGAAGCUAUGUGGAGUCAUGCUAUUUUGACAACUCUUCUGACUCACUGAUUGACUUGACUGUCAGAGAUUUUUCUUCCCAAGGAAGACUAUCCACAUUGCCUCCAGCCUGAGGUGAAUUUCACAAAACUUGGCCCUGUACGUUUCUAAUUCUCUUAAUAGUCUCCAAGGGGCUAUGACAGUAAGUAAAGUAUAUUUCUCAGGACAAGCACCACCAAAUAUAUUUGAACAAAACCCUAUUAAACUGUCAUAUGCUUCAAAAUAAAAAUCUAUUCCUUCCCCUGUUGAUUAGUAAG